UAGCUCAGUCGGUUGGAGCGUGGUGCUGAUAACACCAAGGUCGCGGGUUCGAUCCCUGU
rnacentral:tRNA from 1 species